rnacentral:miRNA from 1 species
GCUUGUCAGUGUGUGUGUGUGUGUGUGUGUGCCUGCAUGCGCGCGCACACACACACACACACACACACACACG